rnacentral:rRNA from 1 species
GUCCACGCCGUAAACGGUGGGCACUAGGUGUGGGGAACAUUCCACGUUCUCCGUGCCGAAGCUAACGCAUUAAGUGCCCCGCCUGGGGAGUACGGCCGCAAGGCUAAAACUCAAAGGAAUUGACGGGGCCGCACAAGCGGCGGAGCAUGCGGAUUAAUUCGAUGCAACGCGAAGAACCUUACCUGGGUUUGACAUAUGCCGGAAAGCUGCAGAGAUGUAGCCCCCGCCAAGGUCGGUAUACAGGUGGUGCAUGGCUGUCGU